GACGGGGGGGCAAGUGUUCUUCGGAAUGACUGGGCGUAAAGGGCACGUAGGCGGUGAAUCGGGUUGAAAGUGAAAGUCGCCAAAAAGUGGCGGAAUGCUCUCGAAACCAAUUCACUUGAGUGAGACAGAGGAGAGUGGAAUUCGUGUGUAGGGGUGAAAUCCGUAAAUAUACGAAGGAACGCCAAAAGCGAAGGCAGCUCUCUGGGUCCCUACCCGAGGCUGGGGUGCGAAAGCAUGGGGAGCGAACAGG
rnacentral:rRNA from 1 species